AUUGAACGCUGGCGGCGGGCCAACACAUGCAAGUCGAGCGAGUGGCGGACGUUUGAGUAGUAUAUCGGAACGUGCCCAGUGGCGGGGGCUAACUACUCGAAAGAGUGCUAUACCGCAUACUCUUGGAGCGGCAGAUAUCGGAUUUGCUAGUUGGUGGGGUAAAGGCUCACCAAGGCAAAGGUCCGUAGCUGGUUUGAGAGGACGACCAGCCAGAAGUGGACGGAGACACGGCCCAGAUUCCAACGGGAGGCAGCCGUGGGGAAUUUGGGACAAUGGGGGAGAGACUGAUCGAGCCAUCCCGCGUGUAUGAAGAAGGCCUAGGGUUGUAAAGUAAUUUCAGUCGGGAUGCGUUACCGGCAGAAGAAGCACCGGCUAACUCCGUGCCAGCAGCCGCGGUAAUAC
rnacentral:rRNA from 1 species